rnacentral:tRNA from 1 species
UGAGCUACAGACCCAUUUCCUGGAUCUGUCCAGCUUGCCGACCUCACCCUGCUCUCUACCUCAGAGCAUGGGGUG